UUCAGGGAGACCUUACCCACUCAAAUCCGAAAGCAAAGUGUGAAUAGGAAUGAGUCUGGUCAACCUAGGUCGUUCGAGAAUUAUGUGUGGCUCUCAAGCUUGUCUGGGUUUGCUUCUAAGAAGAAGGAAAACGAGGGCUAUUAGCUCAGGUGGUUAGAGCGCACCCCUGAUAAGGGUGAGGUCCCUGGUUCGAGUCCAGGAUGGCCCACCUUCAAAAUGCUCGAGAGAGAUGUCUCUUCAGAGAACUUCACCUCUCCAAACAGACUCUUAUGCGAAAGAGUCGAAAGUAUUGCCUUCUAAAAAGAAAGAUGACAUGAGUUCAGCAACUUCUGAAGAGAAGAAGCCUGCUGAACUAAUGUUCAGCCAGAACCUUGAAAACUGCAUAGCAACAAAAGCCAAAGCAAGGUA
rnacentral:tRNA from 1 species